rnacentral:rRNA from 1 species
GUGUCAGCCGCCGCGGUAAUACGUAGGUGGCAAGCGUUGUCCGGAAUUAUUGGGCGUAAAGCGUGCGCAGGCGGUUUCUUAAGUCUGAUGUGAAAUCCCAGGGCUUAACCGUGGAGGGGCAUUGGAAACUGGGAGACUUGAGUGCAGGAGAGGAAAGUAGAAUUCCAAGUGUAGCGGUGAAAUGCGUAGAGAUUUGGAAGAAUACCAGUGGCGAAGGCGGCUUUCUGGUCUGCAACUGACGCUGAGGCACGAAAGCGUGGGGAGCAAACAGGAUUAGAUACCCUGGUAGUCCACGCCGUAAACGAUGAGUGCUAAGUGUAAGGGGGUUCCCGCCCCUCUGUGCUGCAGUUAACGCAAUAAGUA